GGUGGUGACAAUCAAUCUUGUGACAGUGAUCAGGGAUUACCAAUUGUUUGGAGAGCAAUUGAAGAACAACCGAACAAUAUGGAAUAAUUUAGAACAAAUUUGGAACACCAAUUUCAAGAGUUUCAAGAGCAAUGACAUACCAUGUUGAAUAUUAGUGAAAAUAGGAAUCAAGUACCUAUUCAAGCCAGUGGAGCUAGCCCCGGCAAAGCUGAAAUUGAUCCUGUUCUCUUCAACCCUAGAAGAAGAGCUACGAUGGAGGAUGAUACAAGCGACGAUGAGGAGAUGAACUUCGGGUAUGUUGCACGCCAAGGAUAAGGAAGAGGUGG
rnacentral:misc_RNA from 1 species